rnacentral:lncRNA from 1 species
UCCUUCUAAUUUUGACAUGUUGUGUUCCUCUACUCCACUCCCUAAUGAUUUCUAACAAGAACAAGAUUUUGCAGGCCAGGCCUGCAUCACAGGAGCAAAUAGGCUACUCUCAAUCCUCAACUUGUGUCAAGCCAACCCUGUCAAAACCAGUUAAGUAGUGACUACAAUUGUGGACAUGUUAUUCCAAGAACAAACACUUCUCUGCUUACCUGUUUGUGUUGUGUCAAAAGGUAUCAAGGAAAGACGGAGGGAAAAAAGGAAGAAGAUACUGAAGGACCUUAUGCCUACAUAUCUCAAGAAGAUCUUCCUCUGAGGGCUCGAGUGUAUUAUUAUGGCUCCCUCUGUUGCUUUUUC